rnacentral:rRNA from 1 species
UACGUAGGGGGCAAGCGUUAUCCGGAUUUACUGGGUGUAAAGGGAGCGCAGACGGCAGUGCAAGUCAGAUGUGAAAGCUAGGGGCUCAACCCCUAAACUGCAUUUGAAACUGUGCGGCUAGAGUGCCGGAGAGGUAAGCGGAAUUCCUAGUGUAGCGGUGAAAUGCGUAGAUAUUAGGAGGAACACCAGUGGCGAAGGCGGCUUACUGGACGGUAACUGACGUUGAGGCUCGAAAGCGUGGGGAGCAAACAGGAUUAGAUACCCUGGUAGU